UUGUCUUCUCGGGAGCUCCCAGUCAUGGGAGAAGCCGAGCAAAGUUCGAUCCACCGCUUGUGAGGACCAAUCUGCCCAGGGGUACGACCCCGGGGUGGCUAUGUACAACGCCUGGAUUGGAUCCCCGUGUGCCUCAUGGAUCUCUCGGGCCCGUCAGCGGCGAUGGAGGGGCUGCAGGUCCCCGGUAGCAGCUGCGCGAGGGAGGACGCGAGCUCGUUGAAGACGAUACUGCCGCUUGCCAUAGGCGUCCAUCAAAGUGUUGAGGGCGUCGAUCUCGUCCCCCACAGCUAGUUUGGAUCCUGCGCGCGUGUGAGGUUCCUGGUGGCGUUGUCGUCCACAAGCGCCGAACCGGACGCGUCAUGCUGUCUUUAAGCGAGACAACCCAUCACGAUGUCUUCAGUCUUGACAGAUGCAGCUCGGCAUUGGCAUUGUAUUCUUCUACCUGCAGAGUGUUGAUGCUGCCGGGAUUAAUUGACUUGCUGCCCAGGAGCGAACAGCAGCAACUUACAGGGCGAGGGUGGAGGGGCGCACCUGCUGCUGGUACUUGUUGUCUAGUCUGGAGCAUGCAGUCUCGUGUAGGAGACACAAUGGAUUACCAUCCGAGCAGGAAGGACCAAGGCAGGCCACUUGCACCGAGUUGCCGACUCCUGUUGCCCUCGUUCUUGUUUGAGCUACAGAUCAUGAAUCGUGAGGAUGCAAUAUGCAUGACAAAUUGUUAACUUCUCAGAGCAUGUAUAUUAGUAUAGAUGGCACUAUAGACACAACCUACAAUAGGGUGCCUUCUCAGUUCUGUGCAUGGACUUUUGAUUAGAUGAAAC
rnacentral:rRNA from 1 species